AGAAUCUGAGCCUUUGCCUUUUCUCCCGGCAGCAGGGAGCGGACUCUCCUCUCCCGGGCCGCCGUGGGGGUCGCGCUCACCCUCCAGCAGCUCCACGUGGCCCCAGUCCUUCCUGCGGUCUUGGUCUUGCUCCUGGGGGCUGGCGGACGAGCUCCUCCUGGGGCCGCAGACGCCACCGGCGGUCCCUGCGGGAAAGACGAGAGCGGCUGAGCGGGGCCGGGCGUGUGGGCGGGGGCCUCCAUAAAGGCAGAAGCCGAAGGGUCGAAGGGCAAAGGAGCCCUAAACGCAGCGGAAACUCUCGGAGCACGGGCUUAAGUUGGAAAGAAACUAAGACAGCGAAGGUGGAAGGGCCCCGCCGCGGCGAACACGGGCGCGGAACCGCCGAGAGAGGGUUCCUCGCACUCGAGGUGCAGCAGGUCAAAGGUUAAGAGCCCUAAACACCACACCUGGGGUCAGGAGGCUGCAUAAGAAACCACGAGUCAAAGGUCAGACUGCACGGAGGAGCCUCAGUCGAAAAGCGGGCAAGGGCGAGUGGAAAGCGGGGCCGGGUCGGUGGGCUGCGCACGCCCAGGUGCAAAGAGGCAAAGGUCAAAGCGCCAAAGGCCCCGGCCGCGCGG
rnacentral:lncRNA from 1 species